rnacentral:rRNA from 1 species
UCGAGAAUUUUUCACAAUGGGCGCAAGCCUGAUGGAGCGACGCCGCGUGGGGGAUGAAGGGUUUCGAUCCGUAAACCCCUGUCAUUUGCGAACAAACCUUGAUUGUGAAUAGCGAUCAAGCUGAUUGUAGCGGAGGAGGAAGGGACGGCUAACUCUGUGCCAGCAGCCGCGGUAAUACAGAGGUCCCAAGCGUUGUUCGGAUUCACUGGGCGUAAAGGGUGCGUAGGUGGUCAGUGAAGUUCGGUGUGAAAGCUCGGAGCUCAACUCCGAAACGGCAUUGAAAACUCAUCGGCUGGAGGGUCGGAGGGGAGACUGGAAUUCUCGGUGUAGCAGUGAAAUGCGUAGAUAUCGAGAGGAACACCAGUGGCGAAGGCGAGUCUCUGGACGACUCCUGACACUGAGGCACGAAAGCCAGGGGAGCAAACAG